AGAGUUUGAUCAUGGCUCAGGAUGAACGCUAGCUACAGGCUUAACACAUGCAAGUCGAGGGGUAACAUGACGGUGGCUUGCCAUCGUUGAUGACGACCGGCGCACGGGUGAGUAACGCGUAUCCAACCUGGCCCACACUGGGGAAUAGUCCCUCGAAAGAGAGCUUAAUGCCCCAUGUUGCAGCAUUGUCACAUGUUGAUGCUGCCAAAGGCUUGCCGGUAUGGGAUGGGGAUGCGUCCGAUUAGCUAGUUGGCGGGGUAACGGCCCACCAAGGCGACGAUCGGUAGGGGUUCUGAGAGGAAGGUCCCCCACAUUGGUACUGAGACACGGACCAAACUCCUACGGGAGGCAGCAGUGAGGAAUAUUGGUCAAUGGCCGAGAGGCUGAACCAGCCAAGUAGCGUGCAGGAUGACGGCCCUAUGGGUUGUAAACUGCUUUUGUGCGUGAUUAAAAGUCUCCACGUGUGGUGAUUUGCAGUUAGCGCGCGAAUAAGGACCGGCUAAUUCCGUGCCAGCAGCCGCGGUAAUACGGAAGGUCCUGGUGUUAUCCGGAUUUAUUGGGUUUAAAGGGAGCGUAGGCGGCUGAAUAAGCGUGUUGUGAAAUCCCGGGGCUCAACCCCGCGUGUGCAGCGCGAACUGUUCAGCUUGAGAGUACGCCAGGCAGGCGGAAUUCGUGGUGUAGCGGUGAAAUGCUUAGAUAUCACGAAGAACCCCGAUUGCGAAGGCAGCUUGCCGGAGUACUUCUGACGCUGAAGCUCGAAGGUGCGGGUAUCGAACAGGAUUAGAUACCCUGGUAGUCCGCACAGUAAACGAUGGAUGCUCGCUGUCGGCGAUAUAAUGUCGGUGGCCAAGCGAAAGCGUUAAGCAUCCCACCUGGGAGUACGCCGGCAACGGUGAAACUCAAAGGAAUUGACGGGGGCCCGCACAAGCGGAGGAACAUGUGG
rnacentral:rRNA from 1 species